CAUGCUUCCUUUCCCUCCAAACAGGAGCACUUUGUAUGAGUUAAAGGCAGAUUACUCAAGUAUACGAUACUUAUAUAGUUUAUUAAUCUGUGUCUUUCAGUACUACAAUUGACUGGCUUUACUAGAAUUUUGCAGAAUACUGCAGGAAACUGUGGACCCUGAGCUGCACUUGGCAGCUCCAAAACAAUGGCAGAGUGCACACAGAAUGCCAACCCCGCCAAGGUGAUCCAGAAUCCAAAAGCUGACAUUAAGGACUCGAGAGAAGUGUCCGCUGAUUCUGCAUCGGUGGUAGCGCUCAGACCUGCAGACCUGGGAUUGAUUCGAAGUUUGUCCAAGUCGGACUCUGACUUGUUGGCGUCACCACUCGGAGAGGAGGAUGGCGGUCUGUCUGGCCGCAGUGGGUCCGUGUCUAACUGCAGCUCUGGGCAGCUGUCCAUGGAGCGCAUGCCUUCUUUUGCCUCUGAGUGGGAUGAGAUUGAGAAGAUCAUGAAUUUGAUUGGAGCAGGCAUUGAAACGUCCCAAAAGAAACAGCCCAAGCCAAGUUCAGAUGGGGCCUGUGGUAAAGCCCUGGACCAGCCGGUCGGAGAGUGGCUGGAGCACGUGGGGCUGCCGCAGUACGAGAGCAAGUUCCUGCUCAAUGGCUUCGACGACCUACGAUUCAUGGGAAGUAACGUGAUGGAGGACCAGGAUCUCAGGGACAUUGGGAUCACUGACCCAGGACACAGAAAGAAAAUACUCCAUGCGGCACGCAGCUUGCCCAAGGUGAAAGCACUGGGCUGUGAUGGCAGCACAUCACUUGUCUCCUGGCUGGACAGCCUCGGCCUGCAUGAAUAUCUGCCCAACUUUCUUUCAAGUGGCUACCGCACACUGGAGUGUGUAAAGAACCUGUGGGAGCUGGAGAUUGUCAAUGUGAUUAAGAUUGGCGCCCUGGGCCACAGGAAGAGGAUCAUUGCUUCUAUAGCAGAGAGACCCUACGAAGAGGCUCCGACCAAAUCCCGUCGUCUGUCCCCAAUUAUGUUCCAUGACCUCCUGUCCCAGACCACAUCCCCCCUCAGUCAGAUGGACCCCUACACCAGUCGCUCCAUGGACAUGCUCCUGCCCUUGACUGAGCCGGACCGGAGGCGGAGAGGAGUUGACCAAGACUGUAGUGUUUCUCUGCGUUCAUAUAGUGAGAGGCCGCGCUCUGUAGACAGACAGAGUGAACGACACAAAGACUCUCGUUUAAACCUCCGCCCGCCGAACCAGUCUGCUACCUACGCCACAGUGUCCACCUGGCAUCACCAGCCUGAGAAGCUCAUCCUGGACUCCUGCGGGUACGAGGCAACCUACCUAGGAUCAAUGAUAAUCAGGGAUCUACGAGGGAUUGAGUCCACACAAGAUGCCUGUGCAAAAAUUAGGAAAUCAAAGGAUUCAAGAAAAGGUCCAGUUGUCAUACUGUCCAUUACCUAUAGAGGGGUCAAGUUCAUCGAUGCAGCCACAAAGACUAUAGUUGCGGAGCAUGAGAUCAGGAACAUCUCGUGCGCCGCCCAAGACCCAGAUGACCUCUUCACUUUUGCUUACAUUACCAAGGAUCUGAAGAGCGGCCAUCACUUCUGUCAUGUCUUCAGCUGUGCAGAAGUGACACAGACCUACGAGAUCAUCCUAACACUGGGACAGGCGUUUGAAGUGGCCUAUCAGAUGGCAAUGCAGUCCAGGGCAAGACACUAUGUCCCACCUACAUCUUUGUCCUCAGAGGUCAUAGAGACCAAAACCAGCCGUCCUGUAUCUCAGUCGUGGAGCAGCAUGCGGAGAUCAGCAGGUGCCCCUCUGCUCGAAUGCCGCUGCUGUCACUGUCACACGUGUACUUCCCACCGUCCUUCCUUCCUCCCGUUGCACUCUGUUAGCCCUGGAGUCCAGAUCGACCCCCUGGAGAUGGACACAGACAUGCAGUCCCUGGGCAGCACCACCUGGCUCUUGGACCAGCGGGACUCCCACAGGCGCCCUGUCAGCACCAAGUAUGAGACCACCAUAUUCUGAGGCCGGAUCCCUACAGCCGCCCCUCUGCACCCCCUCGUACUUUCCUCUCUCCCCUGCAUCCGGUUCUUUAUUUACCUCUCUCACACACACACACACACACACACACACACUCACAUAUAUAUACACACACACACACACAAAGCCCCGUGCCUUCUCACUGUGAUGGUAUAGCAUCCCUCAGGGCUGCCUACUCCUGCACCUUCCUUUGCCCUGCCCAGCGACCCACCCCAACCGCUUUACCCGCCAUGACAAACACUCCUACGGCUGUCCCGUGCCUCCCCAACACCCCUGGCAGCCUCCCUCGUCUGUUGCUGCAGCCAGUGGCGGAGCCCUGGAACGGAUGAUCCUGGACUGAUCUCAUUUUACGGUGGCCCUGCUCUCUCAACCAAACUGCCUCUUCUUCCUCCUCAUCCUCCUCCUCCUGACAACUUGCAUCUGCCUUCAAAUCCCCGAUAGCUCCCAGAGCCUGUCCUGUCUUACCAGGCAUCUACCACUGUGAGGCACUAUGAGGAGGCUGCUUUGCUAGCAUGGGAUGCAAGACGGGCAAUUAAAUCAAUGAAAGACAAAACAGCAACAUGCAGCAAACAACCAUUUUUCUACGCAUUUGUACAAUACUCAUAACAACAUGAUAGAUUGGUCGUGAAUCUAUCACUGAUGUCUGAACUCAAACGGACCAAGAACUGAAACCUCGUACACACAACACACAGGAGGACAACUUUCCUUCACCUUACUGAGGACAACAGCCUUACGUCAUUUCGGUUAUCUAUAAUCAACUAAAGCCCCCACCUUCCCCCGAACUCCCUGAAUUUCACCACCACCACCCAACAACUGCACGCCUCCCCACUGCUUCUAAAAGACUAAAAAAGACAAUCCAUUUGAUUUCCUGGUGUGUUCAGUUGACUGGGACUGGCUGGGAUGAGGUUGUUCUUAUGAUGGUACAGAGAGUCUUUGCUCUGGCCUUUGUACUGCCCUUUCUGCAGUCUCACAGCAUCUAUGGUAGCACAGAGACUGCAAAUCACAGCAUCUUCUUGUCAAUUAAAAAAAAUAUAUAUAAUAACACUGUGUUAAAACGUGGCACUAUCCCUUUUAAUACCUUCUUUUCUUUUCUUACAGUGCAAAUAGACAGGGCAUUUUGUGAUACUUUUUGAUAGAUGGGGGCUUGAUUGAAAAUACUUGAUUAAAAGAGUGAUUCAAGAACAACAUUAAUACAACCAGAGGCAAAACUAACCAAAACAAAGAAUACCACCCAAAAACAUUACACAAGCAUAUUGAGUGUACUGACAUUGGACCCACUUUUUCCACAAUUUAGGUAAUCUAAACAAAAACAUCCUCAACGAGAUUUCAUUUGACUUGUAUAUUAAUGAGUUUGGAGCACAUUUCCCAACAUAGCAUCUUAUUAUCAUGAUUACAUGGGUAGGUAUCUAUGCUGUUUCACACCGAUUUAGAAUUAGGUACAGUCCAUGCAAAGUAUGUCACUUGAAAAUAAACAGCAGUGAAAAGAUUUAAUUCCACUUACAUUGAAAAAGAGCCGAAUCUUUAAGUGUUGCUCUGAUGACGCGUUAAUGCGAAAGGAUUUGUUAUGCUGAGAACAUGACCGUUUAUUUAUUUAUUUUUUUUUAAAGAAGAAUUUCCCUCCUGCACUGUGAUUUAAAAAAUGCUCGUCGUGGAGUCGACACAUAUCCGUGGGUCCUCCCCUGUGUGCGCUACCUGCUGUGCGUGCUGUAUGCUUUGUUUGUGUCUGCCCUCAUGGGAGUUUGGACUGUUGCUGUUACAUCACUGUCCACUGUCCUUGUUUCUGUGUGCUGCAGGAGAAGUGAGGUAUAGAGCUCCUCUCCAGAAGACAGUGUGCCUGGAGACUGACUGUUACGCUGUAACUGGUUCGCGUGCGGUACAGUGGCUGUGUCAUUGCCACUCUGUUAUGACUGUCAACUGUUAGCUUCCACUGACGAUGCAUGUUGGCAGUGUUUGUUUGUGUUAUUGUACCCUUCGAUGCACUUGGCCUGAGCAGUCUCUGUAUGUACUGUAGCAGUGUCUCGUCUCUUCUCACUCAUCUGCCAUUUGCUUUUUAUGUUCCCUUUCUCUCUUCGUUACACACCAAAUACAGCGAUUCAUCCUCAUCCCUCCACGUUUCCAUUGUCGUCAUUCCUGCCAACAAUUUGUCACGUAUGUUCUUCCAUUUUGUGUGUCACCAAGACAACCUGCUCUAGUAUGGAUGCAUAAUAUUUAAAAAAAAAAAAAAAAAAAAAGGCAUUACACUUUAAUGAGCAGCAGCUAUUUAAAGCAAGUUUUGGUGGCAUGAUUUGGCUGUGCAUGUACCAGUCUUUUUUAACAUUGGUAUUUUCCUUGUGUAGCUCACCCCAGCGUUCAAGUUUCCGGAUACCAAGCUGUGAGUUGAAGGGGAGCAGCCGAUGUGAGUGUGAGUGUGUGUGUUGAGUUAGUGGGCAGAGCAGUGGAAAAGAGGUAGAGAGAGAAAAUGAGAGGUAAGCCUUAUGCAACGUGCAGGGCCAACCAGCUACUCGGACAUUUAGAUCUCACUCUGUAUAUCCCCUACUCCUCCACUGCCCCUGAUAUGAAUCCCAACACACAGACCAAAGGUAACCUGUGGUCCCACAUCACUGGCUAAACAGGACCUGUGUAUCACUCCUGUCUUGAGAGAGAGGUCAGUCAGAAAGGGUCAAGUCUAUUUCCUGGCCUCCAUGUGACUUUCUGAUCUUGUCAUGUAGGUACUGUAAUGUUUAGAGCACUGUAGACCAUUAAUGAUAGACCAUUAAUGAGCAUUUCUAUUGAUUCAGGUCUAUUGGAGAUGGUAACUGUGGGAGUUAUUAAGGGUAAACAAAAAUGUAACAAAGUAUAGAGAAAAAACAUAAAUAAAUAAAACUGUACCAGCAUACAAUGCUUUGCCCAUGUUUGUGGACAGAGUAUGGUUUGUCAAUGCAAAUGUGAUACUGUUUCAAAUUUCAAAGCAAUAUUAAAUUAACGAAAAAUUAAAUAAUACAAUGACAAAAGAAUCGCUCUCAAGUCUGUUGUCGGCAUUGCUUUUGUUUUAUGGUUAAAAAGUAAAAUACAAAAAAAAUUUAAAUUGAAAGUGACAAAUAUGACAUGGUAGUUACUGUACACAUGUACUAUCAGUGUUUCCCCUGCUGUAGAGAUUAGUGGGUGGCGCAACUUCUAAUCUCAACCAAUGAUUAGCCCCAGUUUAUGUGUACCGUGUGUUAUAUUACAUUCAAGUCACAGAGCUACGCAGCUGAUUUUUGAAAGUGCCUGGUGUUCUUUGAAAAACCCAGCUCCUACUUGCUUUGUUUGCAUCAUUCAUAUAAGAGAAAUACUUGGUUUGUUGCAUGAUUUGAAAAAAAAAAA